GUGUUCACAGCAAUUCGUUAAUGUCCAUUGCGCCCGACGGCCGACGGCUACAAUUGGAGUCCUCGACGUGGACAUCUUUGUCUCUCAAAUAGGAAGGUGAGAGUUGUGAAGGGAGUUGAACAUCCAACCUGUUUGAAUGAGAUUCUAGUCCAUGCCGAAGUCGUUUUUCAGAAGAUUUGCACUGGAUUCAAGCUCAAGCUCAACUUAGAAACCCAAAUUGGAGUUGCUGAACUCCAAUAACCUGAGCUUGGGCAUUCAAGGCGGUGAUUGAGUUGUUUGGUUGGUGGAAAUUGGUAUCCCGAUCUUGCAAUUUAUACGCCGGGUUCGAUCUUCCAAUAAAAGGAGGUGGGGGAGGGUGAAACGAAUAGCUUGCCUGAGCAAGUAGCAGAAGCUCCCGGUCUUCUGUUCAUCGGAAGAGAUGACAGGUAGAGAUCAUAAGUGUAAGAACAUAUUUUUUUAAAAUUGAAACAUAGUACUCUCGCAGCAACAAAAAUCCCAGAGAGCCCGGAAGAGAAGACAGACGAGACCAUUGAAACCACCGGCUUUAAACCUCUCAGUUGAAGUAAUCCUACUGUGGAAGAGUUGGAACAAGCAACAUUGAUGCAAAUUGCAGAUCAUGGGACAAUGACUCAUGAAGUAGUUUUUGACUAAUUAAGUAGGUCAAGGUGGUGUAACAGUCCAUACAUCCUACUCAUGCAAGCCUAGCCGGUAAUAAGAAGUUCUGUUGUUCAAAAACUGAUCCGCUUCUCUGGAAACCUUAAAACUAUUCAGGGCUCAGUUGUAGACAGUCAAAGCAUUACCCAAUUGAUGGUUUGACCAUUUCAUCCUUAAGUUUGGUUCAAAUAUUUUAUUGACAUGGAUAUACGACGAAUUUGGGCUUAAUUAAUGUUGGAAGCUAGGGGUAAAAUUUCGAAAGAGAGUUAAAAAUAUAGAAGAGUGGUUUUGGGGUUAAGAAAUGUAUAAAACAGUGUUAUGGGAAAUUUCCCAUCUGAAGAAACUAGGUUGCCGGUCAAUCCCUAAUUUUAUUUAUGCCACCAGAAGAACCCAUAGCCUUGGAGGAGGAGAUGACAAUCCACUGUACGUUGACAUACCAAAGCCUUGUAGGAGGAAAUCGGAGAGAAAACCCUAUCCAACACCCAUGAAAUUACUAAUUCGAAGGGCAAAGGCAGAGAGAGAAGCAAGAAAGGCAGAGCCCUGCAGGAUGCUUGAAGAAGCACCUGAAAAUGGCUUACUUGUUCCUGAACUAGUUGAGGUGGCUCAUCAAGUGUAUCAAGCAAGAGGAAAACUCCUUCGAGGACUCUCAAAGCUCACGGAUGCUGUUCCUAUCAAGCGUUGCAGGUUCUGCUCUGAAGUUCAUAUUGCUCAUGUGGGCCACGAAAUUCGGACUUGCACUGGUCCUAAAAGUGGUUUUCGGAGUGCCACACAUGUUUGGAGAAGAGGAGGGAUUGAAGAUGUGGUAUAUUUCCCCUACUGUUUCCACCUGCAUGAUCGUGUUGGAAAACCAAGAGUUGGGCAUGAUGAGAAGUCUAGAGUUCUGAGGCUCCCUGCAAUUGUGGAGCUUUGCAUACAAGCUGGUGUAGAACUCAAAGACUAUCCCACCAGGAGAAGAACCAAGCCUGUUUAUUGGAUGGAUGGAAGGAUAGUGGACUUUGAGUCGGAGAAAGAAGAAGAAGAAGAAAAAGAAAAAGAGGAAGAUGAUGAGGAACAACAUAAGGAAAGAGAUUCACAGUCGGAAGAACUUGAUAUGCAAGCCCAAUCAUCAGAUGACGUGGAAGAGAACUUGAGUGAAUUGAGCUUUAACACACUGGAGUCGUGGUUUGAGAUGAUUUCAGGAGCUAAGAAGAUCAUGAAGAAAUACAGUGUGCUGACUUGUGGGUACUGUCCCGAGGUUCAGGUGGGGCCGAAGGGACACAAGGUCAGAAUGUGCAGAGCGUCCAAACACCAAUCCCGCAAUGGUAUGCAUGCAUGGCAAGAAGCAACCAUAGAUGAUCUGAUUGGGCCUAACUAUGUGUGGCAUGCAUGGGAUCCUCAUGGGCCCCCUUUAGUGAAUGACCUGAAGAGGUAUUAUGGCAAGGCUCCUGCUGUGGUGGAGUUGUGUGUACAAGCAGGUGCACCAGUUCCCGAUGAGUAUAGUAGUAUGAUGAGAUUGGAUGUUGUUCCUCCAGAUCGUGACGAAGUUGAUCUUGUUGCAUGAUUUCAUCAUCAGGGGUUAGUACAAAGUUCUCUAUUUUGUAGUUUUGAAAUACCAUCUUCACUAUUGGAGUGCGGGAAAUAAUGUCCACAUCAUCUGCUGAAGAGGAUCCCUACCAUGGACAACCUGAUCCAAGAGGCUUGGCUAUUAGGAACAAGUGCAAGUUGUGGUGAGGCACAAGUGGACGGAUGCCAUCUAUUUAUUGUUUGUGUGUUUGCAAUGGAAGCAUGGAAUGGAUAGGAGUGUUCCUGGCUAUGUGGACGUGAUGGAUUUUUCCCUGGACUCUUCUUGCCAUGAUGAGAGGUUGAAGGAUGCCUGUUCCAAGGGAAGGAUAGUUACGAUGUGGAGAAUGAUUCCCUUCGCAGUUUGCUGGGGCAUAUGGAAGGAGAUGAAUGCAUUGUUUUGUUGGAAAAGGAAGAAGCGGCUGAGAAAAUUAUGUCUAAAGUUGUGUAGAUGGUUUCUGGGUGGGCUUCAGUUGCUACUGAAAUAGGUGCAUUUGCAAAUGACAGCAAUUGGUGGUUGGGUUUGGUUUGAUUAUGUAGCUUGAUAAUGUUAUUGAAGCUGAGAAGCAAGCUGCAAGGGACUUGAUUCAUGAAAAGAAGAAAGACAGGGCUUUGCUUGCAUUAAAGAAGAAGAAGGCCCAGGAAGAAUUAUUGAAGCAAGUUGAUAAUUGGUUGAUUAAUGUGGAACAACAAUUGGCAGACAUUGAACUGGCAAGCAAGCAGAAGGCUGUAUUUGAGAGCUUGAAGACUGGUAAUAAUGCUAUUAAAUCUAGAAAAGUGAAAUCAAUUUGGACGUUGUUCAAAAACUGAUGGAUGAUACAGCUGAAGCAAACGCUUUCCAAGAUGCCAUACUACGUGGAUAGAUCAUCACCUGGGCUGCUGCUGAUCUCCUUUCAAUGAACGGAUUACUGCUGGUUGUACCUGCUGUCCGUGAGUUGCUAAGAGCCCCAACAUCAUUCACCAAGCUACAUCGACUAUACUAAGGAUCUCUAUACAACCGGCUGGACUUUUCUUCAUCAACCAAAAGUGGAUUGCAUCUCUUUAUUUUGGAGGACCUUGGUCUCUUCUUUUCUCCUCAGGCCUGGACAACAACAAGGUAAAUCAUUAAACUAAACUCUCUCCACCUCCAUUAAUCCCUAUUAUAUGUUGCAGCCCAUUAACAUUGAAACCAGCCUUAACCCUUUGUUUAUGCCUAUUUUUACCCAUUGUUUUAAGACGUUUCGUCACUGUUAUAUCUCCAAA